UUGAAAUCCAUGUAGAUAGAUGAAUAGAAUUUGGAGUGCUUUGAGAUUUGUGCAAUGGGUGAUCCUUUAAGGUUACUUUGAGAUUUGUGCAAGUGGAUGAAUGAAGUGUUUGGACUGCUUUGAGAUCUAUAUGAUGAGUGAUUCUGAACUACGAGCCAUGUUGAUAAGGAUGGGUGGGGGCUUAGAAAGGCCAAAUGAAAGGAUGAAUGGAUGAAUAAUCAUUCACAACAAGAGAAGAGGAUGGAUAAAGUGAGCUACAAGCUCAAGCUGUAUCAUAUAUCAAAUAGUUUAGUAAUCACAAUCUGUC
rnacentral:lncRNA from 1 species